rnacentral:rRNA from 1 species
AGCGAACGCUGGCGGCGUGCUUAACACAUGCAAGUCGCGCGAGAAAGGGGGGGCAACUCCCUGAGUAAAGCGGCAGACGGGUGAGUAACACGUGGGUAACCUGUCCUCGAGUGGGGAAUAACCCCGCGAAAGCGGGGCUAAUACCGCAUAACGCCCCCGGGUCCUCGGACCUGGGGAUCAAAGCUUGCCUAUGCUUGCAAGCUGGCGCUCGAGGAGGGGCCCGGGGCCGAUUAGCUAGUUGGUAGGGUAACGGCCUACCGAGGCAACGAUCGGUAGCCGGCCUGAGAGGGUGACCGGCCACACUGGAACUGAGACACGGUCCAGACUCCUACGGGAGGCAGCAGUGAGGAAUAUUGGGCAAUGGGCGCAAGCCUGACCCAGCGACGCCGCGUGGAUGAUGAAGGCCUUCGGGUCGUAAAAUCCUGUCGAGAGGGAAGAAAUGGCUUCUUGUUAACAGCGAGAGGCCUUGACUGUACCUCUGGAGGAAGCCCCGGCUAACUCCGUGCCAGCCGCCGCCGUAAUAC